UUUUGUUGGUUUUCGGAGCUCGAGGUAAUGAUUAAUAGGGACAGACGGGGGCAUUCGUAUUGCGGCGCUAGAGGUGAAAUUCUUGGACCGUCGCAAGACGAACUACAGCGAAAGCAUUUGCCAAGCAUGUUUUCAUUAAUCAAGAACGAAAGUCAGAGGUUCGAAGACGAUCAGAUACCGUCGUAGUUCUGACCAUAAACGAUGCCAACUGUCGAUCCGCCGGAGUUGCUUCAAUGACUCGGCGGGCAGCCUCCGGGAAACCAAAGUUUCUGGGUUCCGGGGGGAGUAUGGUUGCAAAGCUGAAACUUAAAGGAAUUGACGGAAGGGCACCACCAGGAGUGGAGCCUGUGGCUUAAUUUGACUCAACACGGGGAACCUCACCCGGCCCGGACACUGCAAGGAUUGACAGAUUGAGAGCUCUUUCUUGAUUCGGUGGGUGGUGGUGCA
rnacentral:rRNA from 1 species